rnacentral:rRNA from 1 species
AAGACCGGUGCCAGCCGCCGCGGUAAUACCGGCGCCCCAAGUGGUCGUCACUAUUAUUGGGCCUAAAACGUCCGUAGCCGGUUUGGUAAAUCCGUGGGUAAAUCAGACAGCCUAACUGUCUGAAUUCUGCGGGGACUGCCAAACUUGAGACCGGGAGAGGUACGGGGUACCUGCGGGGUAGCGGUAAAAUGCGAUCAUCCCGUAGGGACCACCUGUUGCGAAGGCGCCGUACUAGAACGGAUCUGACGGUCAGGGACGAAGCCUAGGGGCACGAACCGGAUUAGAUACCCGGGUAGUCCUAGGUGUAAACGCUGUGGACUUGGUGUCGGGGACUUUCAGAGAGUCUCCGGUGCCGGAGUGAAGAUGUUAAGUCCACUGCCUGGGGAGUACGGUCGCAAGGCUGAAACUUAAAGGAAUUGGCGGGGGAGCACCGCAA